rnacentral:rRNA from 1 species
GACGAACGCUUGUGGCGUGCUUAACACAUGCAAGUCGAACGGAAAGGCCCUGCUUUUGUGGGGUGCUCGAGUGGCGAACGGGUGAGUAACACGUGAGUAACCUGCCCUUGACUUUGGGAUAACUUCAGGAAACUGGGGCUAAUACCGGAUAGGAGCUCCUGCUGCAUGGUGGGGGUUGGAAAGUUUCGGCGGUUGGGGAUGGACUCGCGGCUUAUCAGCUUGUUGGUGGGGUAGUGGCUUACCAAGGCUUUGACGGGUAGCCGGCCUGAGAGGGUGACCGGCCACAUUGGGACUGAGAUACGGCCCAGACUCCUACGGGAGGCAGCAGUGGGGAAUAUUGCACAAUGGGCGGAAGCCUGAUGCAGCAACGCCGCGUGCGGGAUGACGGCCUUCGGGUUGUAAACCGCUUUCGCCUGUGACGAAGCGUGAGUGACGGUAAUGGGUAAAGAAGCACCGGCUAACUACGUGCCAGCAGCCGCGGUGAUACGUAGGGUGCGAGCGUUGUCCGGAUUUAUUGGGCGUAAAGGGCUCGUAGGUGGUUGAUCGCGUCGGAAGUGUAAUCUUGGGGCUUAACCCUGAGCGUGCUUUCGAUACGGGUUGACUUGAGGAAGGUAGGGGAGAAUGGAAUUCCUGGUGGAGCGGUGGAAUGCGCAGAUAUCAGGAGGAACACCAGUGGCGAAGGCGGUUCUCUGGGCCUUUCCUGACGCUGAGGAGCGAAAGCGUGGGGAGCGAACAGGCUUAGAUACCCUGGUAGUCCACGCUGUAAACGGUGGGUACUAGGUGUGGGGUCCAUUCCACGGGUUCCGUGCCGUAGCUAACGCUUUAAGUACCCCGCCUGGGGAGUACGGCCGCAAGGCUAAAACUCAAAGGAAUUGACGGGGCCCCGCACAAGCGGCGGAGCAUGCGGAUUAAUUCGAUGCAACGCGUAGAACCUUACCUGGGUUUGACAUGGAUCGGGAGUGCUCAGAGAUGGGUGUGCCUCUUUUGGGGUCGGUUCACAGGUGGUGCAUGGCUGUCGUCAGCUCGUGUCGUGAGAUGUUGGGUUAAGUCCCGCAACGAACGCAACCCUUGUUCACUGUUGCCAGCACGUUAUGGUGGGGACUCAGUGGAGACCGCCGGGGUCAACUCGGAGGAAGGUGGGGAUGACGUCAAGUCAUCAUGCCCCUUAUGUCCAGGGCUUCACGCAUGCUACAAUGGCUGGUACAGAGAGUGGCGAGCCUGUGAGGGUGAGCGAAUCUCGGAAAGCCGGUCUCAGUUCGGAUUGGGGUCUGCAACUCGACCUCAUGAAGUCGGAGUCGCUAGUAAUCGCAGAUCAGCAACGCUGCGGUGAAUACGUUCCCGGG